GGCGCGCUUCUCGGGAUUCGCGCCGCACGGUUGGCCUGGGGGUUGGGAGAGAGGGCAGCAAACAAGAUCUUUCCCGGGAUGGGAAGCCCCCCUGUCCGCCAAGCCGGGCCGGGUAAACAGGCCACGCGAACGUUCCAGAGAACUGGAAGCCCAGGGACAUUGCUGGCAGCCGCCUGCGCCGGCCAAAUGGGAGCCCUGUCACCAGUAAAGGACAUGCUGAAGAUGCCAAAUGGAGAUGAGAGAGCCUGGAGGAUGAGAAGUCAUGUGGAGGAGAACUGAGGCACGUCAGCCAACAGCCAGCACCAAGUGCCAGCCAUGUUGGCAGAGGUUUAAGGAAAUUCUCUGGGGAGGCCCCUGCAAAUUCAGUCUUCUAAAAUAUGAAUGGUGUUGAUGGAAAAAGCUGAAGUGCUUUUUUGAGCAUGAAUCGGACUAUCGCCACGUGGCCAACAGUGUGGCUCCUUUCCCACCAAGCCCAGCACUAGAAGGACCUUUAAGAAGAGCUGAGCGGCGUUUCAAGCUCCCUAUUCUCCAGCCCACCCUCUGAUGGAGAUGUUAAUGAAUCAGCCAAACUGCCAGAAAAGAAGCCAGAAGAGAAAGUGAAAAAUCAGGAGCCUGGGCCACUGCCAAGCUAGAAAAGCAGACGCUGAGGAGCUGGAAGGCCCUGGAGUCCCCGCAUAAAGGAGCAACCCACAGAGCCACACCUUGGGAGCCCUGGGCCGCAGUUCCUGAAGGAGUAGGGCUGUCCUGUUUGGCAGGGCUGCCACACUCAGAUCAUCCUCUCUGCCCAGUGUGACCGGGGUGAACAAGACCAAGCUAUAAUCAGGAGCCUGGUUUCCUGGCUCAUAGUAGGAAGGACUAGGCAGCGGACUGAUCCAAGUGCUCUCCCCUCACUUGAACACAGUUUGCUAACAGGAUGAGGAAAGGAAGAGGAAGAUAAAGACUGUUUUUAGGACCACUUUGUAAAUCCCACUGGCUUACAUUUUAUUGGUUUCCCCCACUUGGUGCUUUCUGGUUUUUCUAACACAGUGGCUUAUUAGGGUCACAACAGCAAUGUCUCACAAUCCUUUUGAACCCAGGUCUUUUGGGGAGUUUUGGUUCGGAUGUGUCAGGAAUUAGAUUUGGGAGCAGGAAGAGGAGAGGUGGAGACGAUUUGAUGAAGGGAAGAGAGCCCGUUUACUGUAACGUUUUGGGGUGGAAUGAUGGAAAUCUGUGGAAGUCUGUACUGGGAGAUAAAAGAGCUGGCGUGGAGGAGCUACGGUUGGCCAAAACAGAACAAGGAGUGGUGUCCAGCCAACUAGAUGUAAAAAGCUGCUCCUGAAUUUAAACUCUCUGAACCACAGUGCUCAGGAUUAGCAUAAUUGAUUUCUGUUCUAAAUUAUGUCCCUUAGGCGCACAGCACCUCCAGGACUCGAUAUCUGCAAACCGAGGGUAAUGCCCAAACGCCAGAGGCUGGGAGGGCGGAUGUGGAGCUUCGCUCGGAGGCUGCCGUGAUUGCCCCCCGGCUCUCGGGGGCUGCGGGGCCCCUCGGUCAUCACAGCCCUCCGGCUCCCGAACGUGCCUCGCGCGGCGUGGGCAGCGGCGGGAGGGUGCGGCGCCUCCAGGGCUCCGGGGGGUGAGGGCCGG